rnacentral:rRNA from 1 species
AUGCACGCUGGCGGCGUGCCUAAUCCAUGCAAGUCGCGCGAACGGACGAGAAGCUUGCUUCUCUGAUGUUAGCGGCGGACGGGUGAGUAACACGUGGAUAACCUACCUAUAAGACUGGGAUAACUUCGGGAAACCGGAGCUAAUACCGGAUGAUAUUUUGAACCGCAUGGUUCAAAAGUGAAAGACGGUCUUGCUGUCACUUAUAGAUGGAUCCGCGCUGCAUUAGCUAGUUGGUAAGGUAACGGCUUACCAAGGCAACGAUGCAUAGCCGACCUGAGAGGGUGAUCGGCCACACUGGAACUGAGACACGGUCCAGACUCCUACGGGAGGCAGCAGUAGGGAAUCUUCCGCAAUGGGCGAAAGCCUGACGGAGCAACGCCGCGUGAGUGAUGAAGGUCUUCGGAUCGUAAAACUCUGUUAUUAGGGAAGAACAUAUGUGUAAGUAACUGUGCACAUCUUGACGGUACCUAAUCAGAAAGCCACGGCUAACUACGU